GACGAACGCUGGCGGCGUGCUUAACACAUGCAAGUCGAACGGUGAUGCUCCAGCUUGCUGGAGUGGAUCAGUGGCGAACGGGUGAGUAACACGUGAGCAACCUGCCCCAGACUCCGGAAUAAGCGCUGGAAACGGCGUCUAAUACUGGAUACGAAACUGGCCCGCAUGGGCAUGGUUUGGAAAGUUUUUCGGUUUGGGAUGGGCUCGCGGCCUAUCAGCUUGUUGGUGAGGUAAUGGCUCACCAAGGCGACGACGGGUAGCCGGCCUGAGAGGGCGACCGGCCACACUGGGACUGAGACACGGCCCAGACUCCUACGGGAGGCAGCAGUGGGGAAUAUUGCACAAUGGGCGAAAGCCUGAUGCAGCGACGCCGCGUGAGGGAUGACGGCCUUCGGGUUGUAAACCUCUUUCAGCAGGGAAGAAGCGAAAGUGACGGUACCUGCAGAAGAAGCACCGGCUAACUACGUG
rnacentral:rRNA from 1 species